CACGUAUACAACCUACCCUUAAGUGGGGGAUAGCCCAGAGAAAUUUGGAAUAAUACCCCAUAGUCUUGUUGAUCUACCUGGAUUGGCAAGUAAAGAUUUAUCGCUUAAGGAUGGGUAUGCGUCUGAUUAGCUAGUUGGUGAGGUAACGGCUCACCAAGGCAACGAUCAGUAGCUGGUCUGAGAGGAAGAUCAGCCACACUGGGACUGAGACACGGCCCAGACUCCUACGGGAGGCAGCAGUGGGGAAUAUUGCACAAUGGGGGAAACCCUGAUGCAGCCAUGCCGCGUGUGUGAAGAAGG
rnacentral:rRNA from 1 species